UACGUAGGGAGCAAGCGUUGUCCGGAAUCAUUGGGCGUAAAGAGCGCGUAGGUGGCUUUAUAAGUCCGUUGUGAAAGUCAAAGGCUCAACCUUUGAAAGCCGAUGGAUACUGUGAAGCUAGAGUACGGAAGAGGCGAGUGGAAUUCCUGGUGUAGCGGUGGAAUGCGCAGAUAUCAGGAGGAACACCAACGGCGAAGGCAGCUCGCUGGGACGGUACUGACGCUGAGGCGCGAAAGCGUGGGGAGCAAACAGG
rnacentral:rRNA from 1 species